rnacentral:rRNA from 1 species
GACGAACGCUGGCGGCGUGCUUAACACAUGCAAGUCGAACGAUGAACCACUUCGGUGGGGAUUAGUGGCGAACGGGUGAGUAACACGUGGGCAAUCUGCCCUUCACUCUGGGACAAGCCCUGGAAACGGGGUCUAAUACCGGAUAACACUGCCACGGGCAUCUGUGGUGGUUAAAAGCUCCGGCGGUGAAGGAUGAGCCCGCGGCCUAUCAGCUUGUUGGUGAGGUAAUGGCNCACCAAGGCGACGACGGGUAGCCGGCCUGAGAGGGCGACCGGCCACACUGGGACUGAGACAACGGCCCAGACUCCUACGGGAGGCAGCAGUGGGGAUAUUGCACAAUGGGCGAAAGCCUGAUGCAGCGACGCCGCGUGAGGGAUGACGGCCU